CUUGGGGAGCAUUCUUUAUUUUGCCCUACCACAAUAGAACUGGCAGGGGCUUUUUCGGUGAAGACCUCCUUCAUGUGGGCAUAUUUCUCCACAUAGACAAGCAUAUUAGGAUAAUCCUGAGGAAAAUUCUUCACUAAUGACUUUUUGAAGUCGUUCUUCAAAAGUCCACCUAUCAUCGCAAAUAUCGCAAUCGACUCAUCUAGGUUGCGAACCUCCAGGAU
rnacentral:lncRNA from 1 species